GUAGGGAAUCUUCGGCAAUGGACGAAAGUCUGACCGAGCAACGCCGCGUGAGUGAAGAAGGUUUUCGGAUCGUAAAACUCUGUUGGUAGAGAAGAACGUUGGUGAGAGUGGAAAGCUCAUCAAGUGACGGUAACUACCCAGAAAGGGACGGCUAACUACGUGCCAGCAGCCGCGGUAAUACGUAGGUCCCGAGCGUUGCCCGGAUUUAUUGGGCGUAAAGCGAGCGCAGGUGGUUUAUUAAGUCUGGUGUAAAAGGCAGUGGCUCAACCAUUGUAUGCAUUGGAAACUGGUAGACUUGAGUGAAGGAGAGGAGAGUGGAAUUCCAUGUGUAGCGGUGAAAUGCGUAGAUAUAUGGAGGAACACCGGUGGCGAAAGCGGCUCUCUGGCCUGUAACUGACACUGAGGCUCGAAAGCGUGGGGAGCAAACAGGAUUAGAUACCCUGGUAGUCC
rnacentral:rRNA from 1 species